GGAUCAUACAAUCAUAUUUUAGAUUUUAGUACACUUGCAUUUGGGUCUUGCUCUUUGUGCAGGCCAACAGCAACAAGCACUGCCCUUGGUGGUAACAGGGAGCCAGUAAUUGCAUUUCUCAUCACAUCACAUUGUAUAAUAUGACAAAAACUCAAACUAUUAAUUAACUAAAUAUCUAAUGAAUAAUGUAAAUAAAACUGAAGUCAAUCAAACCAACUGAAAACAAAGAAAAAUCGUUCAUUCGUUCGUUCGUUCCGUUUGUUACCUCAGCAGUCACAAUUUUAAAAUUCAACAUACACAUAUAUUUAUUUUUCUUUAUAUAUAUUCUUAUAUAUAUAUAUAAACAAAUUAAAAUAAAAACAAAAUAAUUCCUACCAAAACAAACCAAUAACCGAAGAAAAAUUAAAAAUCAAACAAACCCAAAAAGAGUUAUCAAAUCGCCACAAUAAAAAUCAGUUUCAUCAACUCAAUGAUUUUGUAGAACUCGUUCAAAAUCCUAAGGACCUGGACAAUCGGAUCUAUAAUUAUUUCUCAACGCCAUAGAAAUCAAUUAUAGCUGACAGACUACUGGAAUCGUGUGUAUGUCUUAGUUUAAGCACCAGGAAACUUAGGAUUACCAUAAUCAAAUAAUUUGGGAACGGGCCCUGCAAUAACAGUUUUUAGUGAAAUUUCUUAAAACUAACUUCAGCAUUGUAUUUGAUGAAAUGAUGAGAAAAUCUUGUAUUUUCUCUAAUUGUUAAACGCGAUUUGAAAGCAGCACUAAAACCUCUAACACAAUUUUCGAAAACCAAUAGCGAGAGCGAAUCAUUACUAAUCCUAGCACUUAAACGUAUAAAUAAAAAUGAAAACAGUUACACGAGACAGUUAACAGACGAAAUAACAACAAUGAGGUAACAACGAAACGAAAACAACAAACGCAAUGACAAGUAAAUCGACCAAUCAUACAAAAGAUGAAUCCGGAUAAACGAAAAGCGCAUAUUACAACGAUUUAUAUUAUUAAUAAAUAUACAAAAAACUGUUUAAGAAACCUCUGAGGACUUUUAAAUACUUUCAUCAGCUUUUAACAAGGUUCUUUUUGUUUAUGUCAUAGUUAUUUAUAUGAAACAAGAAACAUAAAUAUGGUAUUCGUAUGCAUACGAAUGUGUUAUCUAAUUUUUUGACUACUAUUAUUAUUUUAUACUUCUAUAUUUUGUGUUGUAUAAUUUUUUAUGCAGUGACAUUUUAGUAAAUAAAGAAAUAUAUAAAACAAA